rnacentral:sRNA from 1 species
CCAGAUGAACCCUCUGCAUGGUUUCCCUUGACUGCCCUUACACAAGGCCUGUGAAUAGGGCCUGGCACAUGGGCUGUCUUUGGACAAGUCCCUGUUCAGAAAAUUGUCCCUGAGGAAUGAAAUGCUUCUGAGACUCCUGCAUCCUGGUCCUCACUUCCACCGGGGGAAGAUUGAUUUCUUCUGAUUUCUGUUGCCUUUUGAAACGCUUCUCUAUUUCACUGUGGGUGCGUAGAAGCUAUGAACUCGGAACUUUCGUUGUUGUCUGAGGACCAGAAGAAGAUGUGCAAGAAAGCCUGUUGAGUAGAAUCUCAUCAAAGGGGAGUGGGCAGCCCAGGAGUUGGGGGGGCUGCGCUGGCAGGGCUGUCACUCAGCCUGAUGGAACGCCUGGCCGAGGAGUACGGCGCGAGGGUGGUGCGGACACUGACGGUGCAGUACCGCAUGCAC